CUGGGAGUGUUUCAAACUCAAACACCAUUUUGAAGGUGGACAAGAAAGAAGGGCGAGUAAAAGAAGGAAUAAAACUGAAAAAAGAACAGAGGACAACUGCAUGGGAAUUACAAACUAAGUAAAUCCCACAGUUCCUGAUCAGGACGGAGGUUCAACUAAGGAACUAAAUUUAACAGAGGUUGGCUAGUAUGGGAUAGAACCCACAUGUGGUGUAAACUGGUCUGAUGUGUUCCAGUCUUCUGAGAUAGGGGGCGCUGUUUCUAAAAUGAGUCACUCAGGAGAGCCAGACACCAAAGGAGGAACCCUCAGCACUAACAGAAAGAGGGCCCAGGUAGAAAGAGCAGGGUCACCUGUACCCAGCUGUGUGUCUAUGAAGAGUGAUCGUUCAAUGGGGAGGAUAAUCAACUUCAGAGAAGAGUUUCCAGGUGAUUCAAGGUAAAUGAACAAGUUCAUAUUGACACUACUGUUUAAUUAAACCUAAAUCUGACUGGCUAAUUUCUGGUGUAGGUUGGGUGCUCCAUGUCAUAUUCGGGUAUAGGUGGAUGUAUUGUGCCAAACUCAGGUGUUGAUAAUAUAUUAUAUCAUAUUCAGGUGUAGAUGGGUGUGUUGUGCCAUAUUCAGGUGUAGGUGGGUGCAUUAUGUCAUAUUGAGGUAUAGGUGGCUGUAUUAUGUCACAUUGAGGUGUAGAUGGGUGUAUUAUGUCACAUUCAGGUGUAGGUGAGUAUAUUAUGGUGUGUUCAGGUAUAGGUGUGGUAUCUCAUGUUGGCUCACUGCUGUUUAGAUGGUGUUUUUUCUUGUUAAAUUUCUGCAAUAAAUGACCCUGGAUCCAUUACCUGCAGUAUCAGAGUUAAACUUCCCCUCCCUCCAUUCCUCACUCUGUCCCUAUA